AUUGAACGCUGGCGGCGUGCCUAACACAUGCAAGUCGAGCGGUAACAGGUGUAGCAAUACAUGCUGACGAGCGGCGGACGGGUGAGUAACGCUUGGGAAUCUGCCUAUUAGUGGGGGACAACCCGGGGAAACUCGGGCUAAUACCGCAUACGCUCUACGGAGGAAAGCCGGGGACCGCAAGGCCUGGCGCUAAUAGAUGAGCCCAAGUCGGAUUAGCUAGUUGGUAGGGUAANGGCCUACCAAGGCGACGAUCCGUAACUGGUCUGAGAGGACGACCAGUCACACCGGAACUGAGACACGGUCCGGACUCCUACGGGAGGCAGCAGUGGGGAAUAUUGGACAAUGGGCGAAAGCCUGAUCCAGCGACGCCGCGUGGGUGAAGAAGGCCUGCGGGUUGUAAA
rnacentral:rRNA from 1 species